UGAGUUUGAUCAUGGCUCAAAGUGAACGCUGGCGGUAGGCCUAACACAUGCAAGUCGAACGGCAGCACAGGAGAGCUUGCUCUCUGGGUGGCGAGUGGCGGACGGGUGAGGAAUACAUCGGAAUCUACUCUGUCGUGGGGGAUAACGUAGGGAAACUUACGCUAAUACCGCAUACGACCUACGGGUGAAAGCAGGGGAUCUUCGGACCUUGCGCGAUUGAAUGAGCCGAUGUCGGAUUAGCUAGUUGGCGGGGUAAAGGCCCACCAAGGCGACGAUCCGUAGCUGGUCUGAGAGGAUGAUCAGCCACACUGGAACUGAGACACGGUCCAGACUCCUACGGGAGGCAGCAGUGGGGAAUAUUGGACAAUGGGCGCAAGCCUGAUCGAGCCAUACCGCGUGGGUGAAGAAGGCCUUCG
rnacentral:rRNA from 1 species